rnacentral:rRNA from 1 species
AACCUCCGCAAUGUGAGAAAUCGCGACGGGGGGAUCCCAAGUGCCAUUCUUAACGGGAUGGCUUUUCAUUAGUGUAAAGAGCUUUUGGAAUAAGGGCUGGGCAAGACCGGUGCCAGCCGCCGCGGUAACACCGGCAGCUCUAGUGGUAGCAGUUUUUAUUGGGCCUAAAGCGUCCGUAGCCGGUUUAAUAAGUCUCUGGUGAAAUCCUGUAGCUUAACUAUGGGAAUUGCUGGAGAUACUAUUAGACUUGAGACCGGGAGAGGUUAGAGGUACUCCCAGGGUAGAGGUGAAAUUCUGUAAUCCUGGGAGGACCGCCUGUUGCGAAGGCGUCUAACUGGAACGGUUCUGACGGUGAGGGACGAAAGUUAGGGGCGCGAACCGGAUUAGAUACCCGGGUAGUCCUAACCGUAAACGAUGCGGACUUGGUGUUGGGGUGGCUUUGAGCUGCUCCAGUGCCGAAGGGAAGCUGUUAAGUCCGCCGCCUGGGAAGUACGGUCGCAAGACUGAAACUUAAAGGAAUU